ensembl:lncRNA
AUUCUGGUCAUCUUGGUCCAGCAACAUGAUCCCAGUUUAUCCCUCUUGCCAAAAGGAUAGACAGUUGUGGGGAUGCCCUACAUAAAGACCCUCUGGCUUCCAUUUGAGAAAAGAGUUUAGCCAAUGCAGAAUAUAAACCUUUCAACACAGUUCAAAUCUAUAUAUACAUAUAAAUUAAUGUGAGCAAUAAAAUAAUGAAAUUUAUAUCAACUUGAAGCUACAACUGUACCUUAAAAAAGACAACUUUGGAGAUUGAAAUAAAGAUGUGCUAUUUGAAGGUAAAAGCAAUAGACUUUCACUCUCCAUUCCCAUUUCUGACUAUCACACAUCAGUUUGCAUUUUCCUUCUCUUUCUGGAGCUGUAACAUCACCAGUACAGUUUUAAGUCAUAAUCUUCAAAAACCCAGCACUCACUCUGCUGCUGAGGACACUUGUUUCAGCUGGGAAUAUCAUGUUGUGCUCAUUUUAUGAAAUGAUUAACAUAAACAAAAUUGUUUUAAAAAUCUAUCAUUCUCCAGAUGUACUGUUUUACUGAGAAACCAACACAAGAAAACAUGGCUCUACUUUGCUGCCCAAUUUUAAGGUCGCCUUGGGAAGUGAGAGUUGGGAGGCUUUUUGUCUUUCCAGGGGCAAGAAGUAGAGACUAAUUUUUAAGAUAAAGGUCGUUGGUACCACGGUCGAGCCAUUUUCCCCUCUGAGCACUUAACUCCAGAGCCGAUCCUAGGAAAAGCCAACGUAGUGGGCCAAAUGGAGUUAAUUCUUGUAAAAUAAGGUAGGACAAACUGAUCCCUCAAAUACGAAGAUGUGAUGAGAAAGAAUCCUGUUCCUCUAAGAGUGUUGCUCCAUCCCCACAAAUUAAAGGAUUGUAGAAUAAAUAUCACCCAAAUCUGCCAUUAGCUCCAUAGUUUGACAGGGGGAAGAUAGACUCAAUUAAAUUACAAUGAUUAAAAGUGCAACUUAUUGAACUUUUCAGGUUUAAUUCAACAAAUAUUUAUUUGGCCAUCUACUUCCUGCUCAGCGCGAGACCAGGAGCAUUAAAAUGGUUACUGUGGGAGCCACACAGCAACGCCUCUGUCGUCUCUACCGCGGGGACUUGGUUUAGCAGAUCUAUGUUUCUCCCUAGGCAGCAUCCCAUUCCUCGACUUCCUUUUUCUCUUCCCUCUCCUGGAGCUCUCAGAACUAAAAGAGAGAGCCUUCCAUUUCUCAGUCCUGGCUCAGAAUCAGCUCAGAUGGAACCGCAAACACAAGCUCCAUUUUAAGAGGUUCAAACCUCACCGUUCCAAAGAUCCAGUUUACAUUUGAAGAAACUAAAGUUCCAUCCCUUCGACAGACAAGCCAGGGCAGUGGGUUUUAAGCUAAUCCCAUACUCAGCCUGCCCUGGAACUACCAGAGCCAGCCUGGCGACUUGGAGAUCAGGAGCAAAACUGGAAAUGAUCACGUGGCUAUGCACCCCUCACCUUGCGCCGUUUCCGCCUAGAUCAGGAGGUGGGGCAGGGGAGGGAGGGAGUCGGAGGAGGAAUAGAUUCCGGGAGAGAGAAGGAUGAAAGUGAGGGAGGCAUCAAAAUAGUUACAGUUUUUUGAGUCCAAAAGGGAAGAUGGCACUGAGGAGGAACAUGAAAAGAAACUUUCAGAUUCGCCCAGGUAAUGACACGCUCAGGAUGGUGCGGAAACGCAGCUCUCAGACCUUGCCUGCGAACCAGUUCAUUAAAACAAAUUGCUUCUCCACAGCCCCAGACAGAUUCCAUCAUGAACUUUGGCAGAAGAAGGGCGGGCUGCUCUUGACCUUAGAUACCCACCCGUUGACGUCGGCCAGACCACGGACAGCUCCCGCCCCACAGCUCUUCUGCCCUCCAAGCGCUGGGCAGUCUCCAGUUCCAACCGGCAGGACGAGGAGGUGGCUGCUCAGAUCAGCCUCCUCUUGCUCUGCUCCCUCCCCAGUCACCCCUCGGGUGUCUUCUGGCAGCCUGGAGUCCGGCCUUGAGCUAGGUGUCCCACGAGGUGUCAGAGACUGAGAACCAAGAAAGGGGCGCCCAAUGAAGACCUAGGUCUGCAGCCGCUGGGAGCUCAGCUUCAGCGCCCAAGAGGCAGCACCAGGGAGAUGACAGCGGGGAGAAGGCGGCCGCGGCCCCCAAGAGACGACAGGGCGGAUGUGGCUUUACUUUUCUCCCUGAGGGAGGCUGGCUUGUUAAAGACAGCCCAAGUUGUCAGGUACUGCUUCGCUUGGGGUCCGUGUUUGCUUCUGAGUGAGGGAAAGGUGAAAGAGUCUUGUCAGAAGCCUCUCUGCACAUUGGAGGUGAGAUUUCCCAAGGCGACAAGCUCAGUCACCCUCCGCUUUCCCCUCCACAUCCCAUCUUCAGUGCCUCCUAACCCAGAUCUUUGGGGGGAGGGGUUGGCCAGAUGUGGAAUUCCCUCACCCAUAGUCAUCCUUCUCAGUGUCCCCAUUUUGCCAACCACUGGGUCGUCUCCACACUCCCCUCCUCCCCUAUUACCAGAUUUGCCAAUCCCCAGGUCCUGUGGAAAGAGCUGAGAGGAAGGUUGGGCUACCAGGGUCCAGCUGGGGUUGAGGUCUAGGGGUUCUUGCCUUUUGUUGGAAGGUGGAGAGGGAAUGUGAGAUCCUUCUGCUUCAGAUUGGUCUUCUCUGCUGGCUUUCCUUCUAAGUAUGGAGGAAGAGCUUAAGAGCAAGAAGUCUUCCUGCUCCUCCAAGACUGAAGAAGCUUUUCACAGGUAGAGCCUUUGUUCAAGGAGCUUGACAUUUCUUUGUGUAUGUAUGGUUGGUUGGUAGGGGGAGACAGGGGGGGCAUAUUUCAAUUCAACUGAGCAACACCUUCUAAAGCUUUGGUGAACUCAAAAAGGACUCAGGGCUAGCCCAGGAGACAGUGAUCAGGGUGGAAGACUGGACUUAUGUGAAGGUGGGAGAGGGGGAGAGAAGAUGGGAGAGGGAGGAGGUUUUCUCCCUGAUUGGAUAUUAGAAUGGGAAUACGGACACGCUGUUGCCUUUAGGGAUUUAUAGUUUCAAUCAUUGCUACUGGUUGUGGGCACCUAAACCAGAAUCAGGAACAGGAGAAUUUGUGGAAGGGUGACUAGGAAUCUGAAAACUAAAUACUCAUUUAGGCUUUACCUGCGUAGUUCAAAGGGGGGAAAUCCAAACCAGCUGACACCUUCAGGCAAGUGCUAAAUGCUCUAAAAAGACACUAAUUGAAGACUGUAAAAAAUUUAUUAGCAAAUAUUUUGAAACCACCCAAAUGUCCCUCAAUGAGAGAUUGUUUAGAUGAAUUAUAAUCUAUAUACUGAAAUACUGUGCAGGAGCUAAAAACAAAAUGAAGUAAAUCUGUAAAUAUUGACUAUCAAGGAAGUCUAGGAGGUAUUGUUAAGUGAAGAAAUAUGAUCAUAUUUUCAUUUUUUAAGAGAAACUGUUAAGGGUGUAUAGUCUAUAGGUGUAUUUCUAUGACACGGAGGAAUAAAAAAGACUGGUAAGUACCAGAAUGUUGACAAUGAUUACUACUGCAGCUGAGAUGGGAGUUGGAGACUGUUUUAAAGAGGAGAAAAAUGAUAUGAUUAAAGGUAAUUUGAACUUAAUUCAAAUUAAGUUUGAACUGAAAAGCCUCUUGUUGUUUUUAUUUUAUUUCAAUGAUUUCUGUAAUAAAAAAAAGUACUACUAAAAUCAGAAAAAGCAAGUAGAUGAAGAUAUCAAUUCCUGAUCCAUCUAUCCCUUCUACUCCUUUGAAAUAAAGAUCCACCAUCUACAAGCCAGAUCUGCUCCCAGGGCCAAGGGUGCUCUGUCCCAGCUGAAAACUUACAUGAAUAUGACAUUCCUAAGUCCAAGGUCAGCCUGUUUAUUGAUACCGAAAAAUAAGAGCUUAGAGAUGUGCCUGCUCACCCAGAAAAAAGAGGCAUACCCUCUUUCUCUAUGCAGACUUUCUGAAUCAAAUCUGAGCAGAGGUGAAGUUCUGCCAUUUCCCUGGAUUGGCUGUGCUCACUAACCAUGUCUCAUUUUAAAGGUACUUCCUGAAAUUUCCAAGCGCCGCAGUCUAUUCAAACUUUUGUUCUUUUAAACCUUUCUGUCUAAGGAGACAGAAGAACAUAGUGAUUAAGCAGGGGAGUUGAAGUCUGACUGAACCAUGGUUUUCUCAUUUACUGAUUAUAUGACCUUAAGCAACUUAUUUACUACCUUGUGCUUCUGUUCCCUUAUCAGUAAGGUGGGAAUACAAUAGCACAUAACUCAUAGGUUUGAUAAGAGUAUUAACUAAGAUGAACCUGUAAAGAGCUUAGGAGACUGCUAAGUGUCAGCAGUUAUUAUCACUAACCCUGUCUAGAAAACUGCAAAUCAAGGGGCAAUGGAAACCUCUUAGAGGCAGCUUGAAUCUUCCUAGUGUGGGCAGGAGGGAUGGAGCUGCAGAAAUGGGAAUAGAUUAAGGAUACUUAAACUACAGUCUGUAUACUUAGAUGGAAUAAGAUGAUGAGUUUUAGAUUCAUACUUCCUUGGAUUCAAGGCUGGGAUUUACCAUUUACUAGCUAUUUGCACAUGAAUAAUUAUAUUACCUCUCUGUACAUUUUGUUAACUACAAAAUGUCAACAGUAAUAGUGCGCAUUUUAUAUAGUGGCUCUGAUAAUUAAGUGAAUUCUCAGCAUUUGUAAGUGUUAGCUUCUAUUUAUGUUUUGCCUUCUAAAAGCAAAAUUGCUUCAGAUGCUGUCAGUGACCCACUCACAUCCCUUUGUCCUUUACACUUCAGUGCAGCUGCCAGCUCCUGUAUUUUUCUUCCUGAAAGUUUUAUCGGGAUUCUAAGGCACUUUGCCUACACUUAUGGUAGGUCAUAAGUGCCUCAAAAUUAAUAAUCACUCAUCAGCCUUCUACCAAUGACCAAUAUGAGUUGGUAAAGGUUUUUUUUACACUGAUUCCCAGAGCUUCCUCAGAAGGAUUAAGCUCAGUUGCCCACAAUAAUAGCUGCUUGAUAACUUCUCCUUCCCUGUCUCUCUUUCCCAUUUCUCCAUCUUCAAUUCACCAAUAAACUAUUUGCACUGGAAUUCUUUUCUCAGGGUCUGCUUCUGGGAGAACCCAAACUAAGACAGAGGUCCAUAGUGUCCUGUGGUGAUGAUGAUGGUGGCAUGUGUUGCUCAUACAAGCUUCUGCCUUAUUUCAUUCCAAGAUUGCCAUUCAGAAGCCCAUAUCCUAUGAAAUUAUUAAUUUUAAUGUUUGGUUUUGCUCUCUCUUAACUCAGAUAUCCCCACUUCUCUUUCUUACAGUUUCCUGGUUUCCAAGGAAAGUGCAAGAUCUUGAUAACUGCUUCUAAUUGGUAACCAAAUACGGUCCCCUCUCACCGUGUAAGAGAAAUGCCCUUGUUUGUCUGAAUUUCAUUCCAGAACUUACUAUUUACACUCUCCAAACUUCCAAAAGAGGAUACCAGGCAGCCUUUUCCUCUGCACUGAAAAUAAAUACCAUCAUGCAGGAAUCUGACAGGCAGUCCUCUAUCUUUCCAAAGAAUAUGGCUGGAAAUGUGGUUAUAGAUUUAGGCCAAUGGACAUGUGCUGCAAAACCUCUAACCCAAGAGAUACAGAGAAAGGUAAACUAAACUCUCCAGUUCAUGAGUGCCUUGGAAGGAGCAAUUCUCGUAGUAGAGUGGGUAGCCUGGAGUCAGACAGGCUGGGUUCUUAUCCUGGCUCCUCCACAACUUAAUGUGUAACCUUGAGAAAUGUAUCUAAUGUUGCUAAACUCUGGUCUUCUCAUUUGCAAAUUGGCGAUAAUAAUAAUGUAUACACACUUCACAGUUUUUUUUUCAGGGCUUUAGUAUGCUAAUUCACAUUAAGAACUUAACACAAUGGCAUAUCGUAAAUGUCUAAUAAAUGCUAGCCCUCACUUUAAGUAUUGAGAAAAAUGACAACAACAGCAUUUUGUAGAGGAACCACAAGGGACUAUAUGGUACACACUGAGUUUAUAGAAUCUGGAAGCUGGAAAGAGAUCCUAGACACCCUCCAGCACAGCAACCUCCUAAUCAAGGUAAGGUGAGGCAACAUUCUGCAGAACACACAAUUGGUUUCAGCAAGCAAGCAGUGAUUUUUCAGUACAUGUUAGACAUGAUUGUUGGUAUUAGUAUUGUUGCUGUUGGAACUGCAGGCAAAGCGGAGAGCUGGUUUUGGAAGACAUUAGGGUUAUAGGUCAGUGCAGAGCCUGUUUCUUGUCACCUAGUACGUAGCCACAGGUAACACCUAACACCAGCUGAAAAUAGGGGACCAUUUCUAUCCUCCAGGCCAAGAAUGUGGAUAGGGACCUGUCUACCUUGGAAAAGGAGGUGGGUCUUCCUGGGUGCAGUUUGCCAGAGGGAAAAAUAGGUGUAAUUAGUAUGGCACUGGGAGGAAAAUACAUAGAGACAGAGAAAAGAGCAUGGUUUCUGCCUAGACAAUCUCAGUGGGUGAGAUCUAAGUUGGCAGUUGGUCAGUUCCCAGGGUAGAAUGAGUAUCCACAGUACACAGGUCACAUUGCUGAGCAAACGCACCAGUGGAAUUUGCCCUAGAAAUUUCUGCCCCUUAUCUCCAAGAACGCACAUUGGAGGCUCUAUCCAGAGUGAAUUGCUGGAGUUCUUUUGGAGAUUGUAACUCAAAGAAAGCUGGGCUGCCUUGUGGUCUAUCUUAUCACAGUACAGUCAUGCACAAAAUAAUGACAUUUCAGUCAAUGAAAUGUAUGACGGGGGUCACAUAAGAUGAGUACCAUGUAGCCUAGGUGUGUAGCAGGUCUACCAUCUAGGUUUGUGUAAGUACACCCUAUGAUGUUUGCACAAUGAUGAAAUUGCCUAACGACACAUUUCUCAGAACAUAUCCCCACAUUAAGCAAUGUAUGAAGGUAUUGCUUUCUAAAGAAACAUCAUUCUCAUGGCAAAGAAGCGUUGUUGGCAAUUUAAUUCUUGACUGGAAUUUUUGGAAAGGGUGUUGAAGGGAAAUUCUAUUUCUUUCCGUACAGCAAAAUAAGUACACUGAACUCCAGAAAUUUCUCUCCUUCCUCUUCCCUGUAUUUUCUGUCUCUCAAACUUCCAGCCUAUGAGGGUUUUCUUUCUCUCUCUCAUAUCUACCUUCCUAUCUCCUCCUGACUUUCUAGCUUUAAAGAUAACACAGUGUUAUGGUUCAGAGUGUGAUCUCAGAAUCAAAUCGACUAGCUUUGAGCACAGCACUGCCCCUGUUUGUUUGUGGCCUUGGAAAAGUUGCCUAAUAAUAUUAGUUGACAUUGUUGACUUUUACCUUGUGCGAGACAGGUACUCAGUAACUUGUCCAAUGUCACUUAGCCAGUGAGUGAUAGAUCCAGGACUCCAGCUCAGGCAGCUUGAUUCCAAAGUCCACACUCUUGGAAACUAUGCUAUUCCUCAGUUUUAUCAUCUUUAAAAUGGAGAUAAUAAUAAUACCACCUCAUGGCAGGGAAGGCAAUAUAUCACAGAGUGGUAAGGUGGUAAAUAUAUUAAUUUCCCCUUGACAUCAAAUGUUCUUAAUGGUUCCAUUUUACUGAGUCAACUGAAGUUCGGAGAAGUUCAGUUACUUUCUUAUGGUUACACUGGGAAAUUGCUAAAGCUGGCUGGAUUUCAAUUCAAAUCUAGACUAGGCAUUUCAAUCCUAUACUCAGCCAUCUGUGAAUGAUGUGAUAGCGGGCAUGUUUCUCUACCUCCAUGGGCCUCAGUUUCCUCAUCUUGAAAUUGAGGGAUGACAAUAUCUGUCAUGCCCACUUCACAAAGCUAGGGUAAGAGUAAAAAUUAAAUAUGAAAAUGAAAUUUAUAAACCUUCAAGUGGCAUGGAAAUCUAAGUUAAGUUACCAUAGAAACGUUCUGCUAAGUGACAUACAGCUGGGGAAUGACCAAAGUUUGAUGGACACACCAGACACACUAAGAAUCACCUGAGGACACCAUCGGUGGCCAUUCAGUCUACAGGGGGAUCUGCUAAGAGAACCUGCUGAGGAGUGGACAGAGGCAUAGCUCCCAAGGCACCUGGAGCCAGAGACGCGGGAGAAUAGUGCUUUUCUGAAGGAUAAAAAUCUACCUGUGUUGUGAAAAAAGAAAAAGGCAGAAUUGAGACUGAGUUAAAGAAGCAACUCAAGUUCAUUCAUUGGAUAAAUGUUUUGCAAGCCUACUCUUGGCAAGAUCCUGAAGAUGCAGUACUAAACAGGACAGAUGUGGUUCCUGCCUUCAUGGAACUAAGAUUCCAGCUGGGUGAGCCUUGUUGUACCAUAAAGCUUCAUCAGUGAGACAACAGCUUCAUGAGAGCGUCACUCAGAUAAUCCAGAAAUUAAGGUGCACAGAACUCCUUGGACAUGUGUACCUAACUCUGGUACCUAUGUGGGAGGAAACUAAUCUAAACUGGAAACAACCCUAGAAUGGAUAAACAAGAAUUUUUAGAUUCUUUCCUCAACUGUGCCAUUGGAUCAAACAUUUUAAAGCUCUCUUGGAAGAAGAACCUGGGACCUGUUGAUCAAAAUGCCAAGAAACAGCUCUGAUGGAGGGGAACUAAGGACAGAGAUGGAAAAGCUGACUCAGUAAAAGCUCAGGGAUAACCGCUGCAGCCACCCAACCCUUUGGCCUCUCUACCUUUUUGACUUAUUUCUUCUGAACACAUUAGUUCAAAAUGGUGGAUGUACAGAUGCAUGGCAUGUUCCAAAUAUGUGAGUGCCAGGCACUGUCCUAGGUGCUGAGGAAUCCAUGAUGAGCAAAUCAGACACAGUCCUUGUCUUAAAUUUGCUUACUGUUGCCUCAGAAAAGAGCAAACAAGGAUUUAAUCUCAGCUCUGCCACUAACAAGCUGUGUCACCUUGGGUAAGUCACUUCACCUUUCUGACUUUCUGUUUUCUUAUUUUGACCUUUAGUUCAGCAGAACCCCUAUAGGAGCACCAAUGGCUUUAGAAAGUGGUAGGCUACCAUCUACAUUGAGGUUUCAUUGAUGCUUGUGCCUCUAUCCUCCUACCAGUCAAUUCUUGUUUAAUUCAGAGCUAGGCCGUGCCAGACCAGUGAGAAGGCUGUCUUCUCCACAUGGCCCCACCCAGGGUCCCUUGGGUCCAAUUACAUCAACCCUUUCUCGAAAUUCACUCACCAAAUUAGCUGUUACGUGCUCUGGCCGUGUGAGUGGGUCACAUCCAUUACCUCACAGAUGUGAUGGCUCCAGCAAAGCCCCCAGGGAGCUGUGCAGCCCACUGCAACCUCCUUCAAGGGCUUUCAGAGGAGCAGGAGCAGAUGCUUCCCCUCUGCAGUGCUACUGGUCCAUAAAAAGAAAAAAAUGAUCCCAGAGUCAAAAGAUUCACUUUCAAAAGAGCCCCAGGGCUAAAACAAACUGUGGUGACAGACUGGCGGGAAGAAGAAGCUAGAACGAUAUCCACAGAAAAACAGAGACAUUUGUGGAUAUUAAGAGAAAAUAUGCAUUCUUCUGAUCACCAGCCUAACCAAGUCUGGCAGAUUCUGAUGGGGGCAUUUUUGUAAACAUUUAGGUUUAAUCUGCGCUCCCUCAUUACUAAAUUAGUCCGGAGUACGCACUCUGGGUGACACAUAGGAAGAAUAGUAAUACAUCUCACUGUUAAUUUAAUUAAUAUAUAUUGAGCAGCUAUUGUGUGCUUGGCAUCAUUAUGGGCACUGGGGAUACAACAAUGAACGAAACAGUGCUUGCUCUCAUGGUACACAUUCUAGUUAGGCAAGACAGAAAAUAAAAACAAACUAAUUAAACAAAAAGAUAUAUGUGAUAUGAUUCACGUAGUGACAAGUGCUAUGAAGAAAAGGGAAGUAGGGAAGGGGAUAGAGAACAAAGAGAGAAAGGACUGCUCUUUAAGUUGGGGGCAGGAAAGACUUCUUGACUGGGGUGACAUUUGAGCAGAAACUUGAGUGAAGGGAGGGGGUGAUCUAGGCAGAUACCUGAGGAAAAAACAUUCCACACAAAAGAAAGAGCCUAACCAAGUAUCUGACAGGGGCUGGCUGCUAUGUAUUUUACACACCUUAUAAAUAUUUUCUCAAUUAGUUCAUAAAAUAUGAGACAGGUAUUUUCACUGACAUUUGAGAAAACUGAAGUUCAAAGAGUUUAAAUGACGUGUCCAGGCCACACAGCAAGUUAAGUGGCAGAGAUGGAAGGUGGCUCUACCUCAGUGUUCUUCACUCUUACGCUUAGCUGUUCCUGGCGUUAGUCAUUCCUAAGCUUCACUUGAAUCUGAUUCUCUGUUGCCCCAUAUAAAGCACACUCUCCCACCUUCCUAAGCUUCUUCCAGCUCUGAGUUCUGGAAUUUGACGCAAAUUCCCUAGAGACAGAGUUUGGUAUUAUUCCCUGACUCCCAUGAAAGGUUAGAUGAAGAAGCCCCUGAGAAACCAGCUGAGGCAUGUGCCCAAAGAUGGCUGAGUCUAAAAACAUCUGGAGGCAUAGAUGGAACUGUCCUCAUCACGCCAUGGGGAGGCCAGCCUCUCCCGGGCACUUACUUAGGUUGCUGACUCCAUGUCUUUCUUUCUGGGGAGAAUUGGGUAUGGGAGGGUGUCAGUUACACCCGCCCUGACUAAGGAAAUGUGCAGAAUGGAAAGACAGCCAUUACCCCAGGCUGGCCAUUGCCUCCUUAGCAACAAUAGCCAUGUACACAUUCACACACAAACACUGCACCAAAACAAGCAAAGGUCACUCUCUCUGGGCACUUCCAAGAAUGAUCUCAAUUUUUCAUAAAACAAUGUUUAUAAAUUAGAUGGAACCCCAGAGCAGUCCGGGAAUAGAAAUAACCAUUUUAUGAGGUUUCCUGCCAUUACAUUAUUGCUUGUUUGCUUUGAAUGAGCAAAAUACAGUUUGCGGCCCACCCCUUGCAGAGCCAAGCAAAGACAUUUUUACGACGGCUCCAGCCAAGCGAGCCUGAAUGGGGAGAUAUCCUUGGUACUAGUAGGGGCUUCCAUUCAUGGCCUUUUGACUGGAAGCACCUAAAAGGCAGGGCUGUGCUCUACUCAUCUUUGCAUCCCAGCACCAAGCACUGUCCCAGCACAACAUAAACAUUUAAGAAAUGAUUUUAAUUGUUGAAUGAGUGAAUAUGUGACUGAAUCAAUGAAUGAAAGCAUGAUUGAAUAAUCUGAUUGCUGGGGCUGGUACUAAAGAAUGUGAGAUAAUUGACAAGAAUACAAACACUUUUGAGCCCUUGUUAGAUGUCAGAGCUUUAUAAGUGAUGACAUCAAAGAAGUGUCCCAUGUUUUUCAACCUACUUCCUGCUCUUGCUGGCUUUUCCUCAGUCCCUCAAGGCCUCUGUGCUGCUUGCUACAGCCCCCGACCCCGGUUGCUCUGCAUCCCUAACUCCAGAAUUUACUUUGCAUCUUUACCUAUAAAAAUUCCCAUAUCUCAGUCCCCCUGAUGUAACUGGCUGGCAUGAAGAAAAGCAUUUGAUAAACUAAAUGCCUUAGUUGAGUUCUCUCAGAAGCAGACGCUGAGGCAAGGAUUCAAGUUCAUGCGGGUUAUUUGGGAAGAGAGGUUGGAAGGUAAGACAACCAACAAAGGGUGUGUUAAGUGAGUUACCUCUAUGGGCAACUGGACCUUAGUCCCAUGUGGAAACUCUGAAAAAUAGUGUGGGAAAUAUACCACCUUAUUCCAAGUUAUCCCAUCCAGGGGCAAGGGAACCAGGGUAUUUAUGCACCAUCUUGUCAGUCAUAGAUUGCGGGGUGUUAAUUCUCUGGCGCGUCAAGAUUCCUUGCUCAUGGGCAGAUUGGCCUUUCUCAGUUUCAGAGAAAAGUUAGGCAAAGUAAUGCUGAUGCCUAUGGUUGGAAGUAACUGGGGCAAACUGGAGAGGAACAGCUGGAGGAAUGUGGGUGGGGCACUGACAACAUUGACCUCCCUAACUCUUGCAGGGUGAAAUGGCUGUUCACGUCUACCACAAAUACCCUCCUAGAGGGAUCUGACUUUCUAAAGAAGAGCUUGAACUGGAUAAUGCUCUAAGUCGAAUGAAUGCCUGUCAUAUUCAGUUCCGAAGUUGAGAGAGGAAGUUGAGACUUGGUGGUGGUGGGAGGGGGCAAAUGAAUCUCAACUUAGACAUGGCAGAAGCAUGAGCUUUUCUUGAGAUUCUGGGUGAGGUGAGCUCCACUUUCAUAAAGAAGUGGUAAUGUAACUGGUAUUCUUUCCAGGAGAGAGGUUAACCAAAGACUGACUAACCUUUAUCGAACCCAUGCCUGUAAGCUGUACCUGGAUGCCUUUCCGUUACCAGAGAAAUCCUGUGACUUCUCAGAGGACCACAUCUCUCAGCUGCAGGAUGUAUCUAGACUCUUAAAAGACAAACUUCCUUCCCCUUUUCCCCCUUGCUUGCUCACAAAUAUACAAGAGAAAAUUUGUAGUUUCAUGGAAUUUUACCUACGUUAAAACUAGAAGGAAUCUUAGAGACCAUCUCUUCCAAACCUGUCAUUCUACAGAGUGGACACUGAGAUCCAGAGUGGGGAAGUCACUUGCCCCAAAUCACACAAUGGUGAGUGGCAGGCUGGUUUUAUCAGGCAGAGUUCAGCCAAUAAAAUAAAAUCACUUUAGGUUUGUUAAGCAAAAAGAGAUUUAAUGUGGGGAAAUAAAUACUUACAAAACCAUUGGAAAGGCUAAAAGGGCGAAAGUCAGGAGGAUUGCACUAGCUUUUAAGCCAUGGUUACAACAGUCCCAGAACUUCUGAAGCUGUCAAGAGCUUGGAAACCAGUUCUUUACGCAAGCCUGUGGCAUGUAAAUUUCAGAAGGCCACAACAAAACCUCUUGUGCACUGCGUCCCAUGCUGCUCCUUCCAGAAGAAAAUGAUCUCUUUGAUCUCUCCUCCACCUUCCACGUCUUAUGCUGGUACAUCUUGCUGGUAGACUGGAAAUCAUAUUUAGACUAGAAAUCAUGUUUAGACACCCUGGAGGUAAAGGAGUCUGGGAAAUGUAGUUCUCUGGCUUCUAGUCCUGAGAUUAAGGAGAGAGGAUAAAAUGGGUAGAAAUGAAUGUAGAUGGUCACAGAUGAAACAAAACAGUACCUAGCACUGUGGUGAGCACCAGUUUGUAGGUACACUUGAGAACCUAGAGGGGGCAUCUACUUGGUGGUAUACGCUUCUCCCAAUGAACAAGAGGGAAAGAAGGUCGGGAAAGAGGGCCAGCACUGGCCAGACUUCUGUACCUGGUCCCACCCUUGGCAGCAGAUCUAGAGACCCUGACACAGGAGUAAUUCCAAUAUCAUCAUUCAGUCCAUCAUGUUCAUUGCCUUCAUUUUGCUACCUCCCACACACGUCAGUCUACAGUGCUGUAUCACGGGUGUGCAGUGACAAACCUCAGGAGGAAACUGAGGGUUCUCAGGACCUGUGGUGGCUGCGAGUAGAAAAACUGGAUAUGGACAUGCAGAAAACCUGCAUUGGCAGAAGCUGUAGAUGCUCACCAGGAACUCUCAUUAGUACCUCACUGAUGUAUAGGCAUUUGGAGUAACAUGACUUAUUGAUAUCCAUAGAUUUGGGCUAACUCGGUUGGAGUUAUGGCUCUUACAUUGUUUUGAUUCAUGACUUUGGACAAGUUACCUCAGUUUCCUCAUCUCUAGGGGGAAUAUUAUUGGGCUACAAUGUUCCAGUCCUAACAUUCUACUAUCUUGAUAUCAAAGCAUCUUAAUUGUAACCUUGUAAAACUGUCCUGAACCCCAAAGUAUGGCAAAGUUUCACUCAAAUCUGGAACUUUCUAUCUUAAGCGGAACAGUUCUGUCUAGACAGUUCCUUCCCAAUCCUCUCUCCCUCAACCAGAAUUAGGACUGACCCUUUGAGGCCAAUAGGGUCACUAUAGUGUUUGGAUCACAAAUGUGUAAAUUAUAGUACACAGCAUAAUUGAGAGUUCUCCAUCAGAAACCACCCAAGGCCCUGAAACCCGUUUUCAGAGCAAUCCUUGCACCAGACUUUGAGAAAAGGCUUUUGAGAUGACAAGAUUUCCACUUUCUUUCAGGAAUCCCAUACCCUUCUGUUGUUUCCCUGUUUCAAACUCUUGUGGAUGGAGGCAUCUCAUGUUCCUAGUUUCUUUCUCCCUAAUCAAAGCUUAUCAAGUGUCACUCCUUCCUAGGCUCUUGUCCUUUGUUCCGAUAUGAGAGUGGCAUUGUUGAGAUAAUCAAAUCCCUGCCAGCUUACUAUCGAACUAGUGUAUUAUCUCAACUAAUUUGCAGAAUAUUUGAAUCAAUUUAAAAUGUGGCAUUUGUGGUGGGUUUACUACUAUUACUAUUAUUGUCAUUAUUACUAAAUAAUAAAUUAUUACUAUGGAUGAUGAUAAUGAUGAUAGCACUUUAUCUUUGUAGAGAGUUUUGUGGUCUUCAAAUUGUUUUAUUACUAAUUUUCUAAGGAGGGAACUAAAACUCAGAUCAGUUCAGAGAUUUGUCCAAGAUCAUCCAACCAAUUAGUGGUAGAACUGGAAAUAAAACCUAAGUCUCUUGGCUUCCAGUUGAUGCUCUUUUCACUGCAUAUCUCACUGCUGGGAGGAAAACCCUACAAAAGUCUCAGAGCAAGGAGAACUGAGGAAGAUGGAUGAACCAAGCAAAAAGACUGAUGCCAUGGUGUGUCCCAGUGUGGCAUUAGACAAACUUGCAGUCCUUGGCAGCAAAAUACACAUCCAAGAACAAGACCAAGUGGCUGGUUCACAGCAUGGUCUGAUUUCUGAGUUUUAGAGAUAGUAAAACAUUUAUUUCUAAAUAAAUCAGUCUGUUUUUCUGCCUUAAGAAGCACGGCCAGGGCCCCCAUCUUUGUGUAGGUUGGACCCUGCAUAACCCUAGAUGGUAUCAUUUACCCAAUAGGCGCUGUAGAUUUAUAUAGGUAUUGUCAAAAUUUCUGGAAGAUGAAUGUAGAAUGUCUUGUUCUAACAAAAUCAACAUAUGAUGACAAUUUUCUGAGAGAUGGAAGUGAAGUGUCUUGAAGAGGCGAGCUCUUUUUUGUAAUUCACUCAAAGCCAGAUAGGUGAGCGAGUGUCAAGGACACAAUCUAGGGUCCAUAUGGAUGGAAGAUAUGAAAUAGAAAUUUGGCUUUUAUUUGUUUACUUAUUGAUUGAUUCAUGGUUCAUUUAUUCAUGCAUUAUGCCUUCAUUUAAAAACCCGACUUUGGGGGAUAGUCUGUACUAGACAUUGUGCCUGACCUUGGAUGCUUAAGACUAAAAUCUUGCUCUCUGAGACCUGUCUAAUGGGAGAAUCAGACAAGUAAAUAAAAUACCUUAUAUUAGCGUAGAGUUUCAUGGGAACCCAAAGGCAGGAAAUAUAAUCCAGCCUUGUAUGGGAUAAGACAAGCAGGGUAGGGAGAGUCAGCGAAAGUCAUUUUUCUACCUGAGUGGCAUGAGGGUGUUCUAGGUUGAAGGAGCAGCGUGCACAAAACCCUGAAAGUAGUAGACUGUGUCCUCAGAACUUGCUAUGUAUUUGCUCUUUUAAAUCUCAGAACAACCUUAUCUGGCAGGCACUAUUAUUAUUCCCAUUUAACAAAUGAGAAAACAAAGGCAUAAAGAGAUUAGGUAACUUGUUCAAGGUUACACAGCUGUUAAAGAAUAAACCUGGUAUUUGAACCCGGAGAAUACAGCGACCGAGUUCACCUAUUUCCUUCUGCCUGUCCAGAGAGCAUGGUGCUUAGGAGAGCCCACUUUGGCCCAUGAGUGUGAGGUAAGGGGAACCUUGGUGCCUGGGGGUGGUCUGAUCCAGGGCUGGUUGUAAGAACACAAGCCACCUCUCUUCUUUAGCUCUAGCUGGCAACUCUACCUUUUCCUCUGGCUGGUCCUGGAAUCUCCUGCCCAGUCCCCCAAGGGGCAUAUACCUAACAAAUUGUGAGGACCCCAGGAAAUUACUCAUCUUUCCCAUUCCAUGUUUGUGCUGACUCCAGAGACAUUUUCCAGAAGUUGCUUUGUCAAUUUUUAAACUAAAUUUCCAUUCACUUGUUUUCUUGCUACGAGGCUCUUUUCCCUAAAUAUUGAGGGAUGGGAAGGGUGACCCCAAAAUUGAAUUUCAGUUAUUUGAGAGCUUGGGUUUAGACUGAUUCCAGUUAAUUGAGAGUUUACUCUAUUGUGCUAUUGUAUUACGUAAAUUCCAAAAAAGCUGGAAAGAAUGCAUACAUUUCAAAAAAUCUGCUACUUGCUCUCUCAGAACUUUUGGUCUAUUUGGUCAAAGUCAAAAUUUAUUGUUGAGGGGUUAUUAGAAAGAAUUAAGUUAAAACUUAGCUGAAAAAAAUAACCUAUUCUGUACAUGUUUUAAGUGUAACAGCCCAUUAAAGUCACUAUGCAAGUUUUUGCCACUGUUCAUAGGGUUUGAUCAAAUGAGCAGAGAGCCCUUUUCUUGUUUUGGCUGUAUCUUGGGUUCAACGAUUAUUUAACCAUCAGAUACAAAUACUCAGCCGCUAAAACACCAGAUCAUUGCACGCACAAGUUACAAAAUAUGCUUUCAUGAGCACUAGAGUACUUCCACGCAAAACGUAGCAAAAAGAUCUUAAUAAAAAUGUCCUUUCUGAAAACCAGUUCAGUGUGGGUAUUUUGCUAUUGAUCAUGAGAGCAAAGCUCUAUCUGUGGCUUUGGUUCAUCAGCUGUGGGGGUGAGCUCCCUCGUUGGAGAGGCAGGCACUAUUGGAGAGGCAGGCAAUAUGGUGGAAAAGGCACCGGCCUGGGCAUCACGGGGUGGGAAGGAGAACUUAAUACUCACCCCAACUCUACCGUGGUCUAACCCUGGAUGAGUCCCUUUACUUUGGGAAGCUCAGUUUCUUAUCUAAAAUGGAUCCGACUCUGUGAUCUCUGUUUGCCCCAUUCCACAGUGAAACUAGACCAAAGCUUUCAUACUGAUAUAGAAAGGCAGGCCUUGAGUAACCGUACAUUUUAUUGAAUCAGGGCUCUUAAACUUUGUAAAGGACCAGGUUGUGGACAUGUUAGGCUUUGCAGGCCAUAUUCUCUCUGUCACAACUGCUCACCUCUAAUGUAGCAGGAAAGCAGCCAUAGACAGUCCAUAAGUGAAUAAGUGUGGCUGUGUCCCCAAAACACUCUAUUUACCAAAGCAGGCAACAGACAAGGGGCAGGAUUUGGCCAGCAGACUCCAGUUUACAACCCCUGAUUGAGGUGAUGGCUGUAACAGAGAGUUGGGGGGUCAGCAGUGGGACCGAGCCUUGGCCUGUCUCAGAGACCUGAUUGGGACAGGGGAGGCCACAGGAGUCUGCUCCCACCUUGCAAAGGCCACCAAAGCCACUCAGCC